UCGGGUCGGGUUCGGUUCAGGUAACCCGAUAAUAAUAUUAUUAUUUUUAUUAAACAUUUAUUUUAAUUUUUAAAUUUUUAUUUUCUUAGUAGGGUUUCAAUUACUUUCAUAUCAUUCAUCCCUUCCAUAAUCCAUCCCAUAUUCCCAGCCGCCGCAGCACACUCCCUUCGUUCGUCCCUUCCAAAUUCCAGCCUCCAGCCGCCGCACUGCCCCGCCCCGCCGCAUCGACGACGACGACGGCCCGGCGCAGCCCCUCUUCGAGUCGCCGCCCCUCUCCCAGAUUUCCAAUCGGCGCGGCUGCUGAAGGAGUCCACGCCGCCGCUGCCGGUUUUCUGGAGUAGUUCCAGUCCUCUUCGAGUCGCCGCCGGCCCGCCCCUCUCCCAGAGUUCCAGUCGCUCCCACAUUGUCGAAUCUCACGGCUCCCUCUUCGCCGCCCCUCUCCCAGAGUUCCAGUCGGCGCGGUCCCUCUUCGUCGCCACCCCUCCCGGCUCCCAGUCGCUCCUCUCACCGGCGACGUCUUCGCAAGCCCGCUGCCGGAGUCGAUUCGCCGCCACCAUUCACAGUAGCAGCAGUAGCCUACAAUUCCCUCAUUUCAAGGUCAAAUUUCUUCCCCUUUUUGAAAUAUAAAAUCAUACUCAGAUUAUUUGAUGCCAUGGAUUAGUUGUCUAUUGUUUUUAUUUGAUGCAUAGUCAGAUUUGAUGCCAUGGAUUUGAUGCAUAAUCUAAUGGAUUUGUUUAUUGUUUACAUAAUCUAAUGAACAACAAUAAUCUGAAAGUGAACAACAAUAGGUCAUGCCCGAACAAACAUUAACAUGAAAAUAAUUUUAUCGAGAAGUUGCAUAAAAGCAGUUGGGGUUUUAGGUAUGCGUUCAAUGUGCACCAAUAAUUUUUUAUGUUUGAGGUAAUUAAGAAUGUGGACCAUUAUUGCUAAGUAUUUUUUAUUUUUUAAAUGGGGUUCAUUACACUUUUUUGGGACUAAAUAUUCAAAAAAAAUAAAAUUGAAUGAUAGACUCGUGGUAUAGUAUAGCAGCAGCCCUAAGUUGUUUAUUGUUUUUAGUGUUUUCAUUUGAUGCAUAGUCUAUUGUUUUUAUUUGAUGCAUAGUCAGAUUAUUUGAUGCCAUUAUAUUAUCUUUGUGUUAUAGGUAAUUAUGUCUAGCAAUGAUGAGUACAAUGAGUACAAUGAUGAAAAUACUUACACGACAUAUACAAGUGAUAUGCCGAGUACUGGUACGCCUGCUGCCCCUGCUGCCCAGCCUGCCCUUGCUGCCCUUGCUGCCACAACUGGAUCAACUGGUUUGGGAACGUCCAAUUCCACAGCUAAGCCCCCAACGAACAAAAGAAAACAAAGGUCAGCUGCUUGGGAUCACUUUAAAGUUACUGUUAGUGUAGAUGGUUCUAAAACAUGUGUGUGUAAGUAUUGUGGCCAUACUUAUCACAAAGUGACAAAUAAAACUGGAACUGGAAACAUGAUACGUCAUUUAGAGGGUUGUCAAAGGAAGAACACACAUGAUGUGGGUGAAUUGGUGACUACAAGUAAAUCAAAAUUUGAUCCUGUUCACUUUAGGGAGUUAUUGUCUGCUGCUAUUGUUGUUCAUGAUUUGCCAUUCCGAUUUGUUGAAUAUGAACAUAUUAUAGCUAUUUUUGAGUAUCUUAAGUGGGAUAUUAAGAUGGUUUCUAGAAAUACAGUGAAGGCUGAUGUUUUGAAAUUGUAUGAAAGAGAAAAGAUGCGGAUUAAGUCUGAAUUGCAAAAAGCAUCUGGUAGAAUGUCCUUGACUUCUGAUUGUUGGAGUUCGAUUACCACUGAUGGUUAUAUUUCUCUUACUUGUCACUUAAUUGAUGAAGAAUGGGUGUUACAUAAGAAGGUCUUGAAUUUUUCUUUGAUGCCAUCUCCUCAUACUGGCGUAGCAUUAUCAAAUAAGUUAUUUUCCAUGCUUUGUGAGUGGGGGAUUGAAAACAAAGUAUUUUCUUUGACUUUGGAUAAUGCUAGUGCAAAUGAUGUGUCUGUUGAGUUGCUGAUAUCACAGUUGAACUUGAAUAAUGCACUUCUUUGAUGCUUGAUAAUGCACUAUAUUAUAGGAAAGCAUUCAUGAAUUUUCAGCUUGUUGAUCCCAACUACAAGCAUUGUCCUUCUUCAGUUGAAUGGGAUAGAAUUGAGAAGAUCCGUGGUUUCUUGAGCUUGUUUUAUGAUGUCUCGAACUUGUUUUCUGGUAGUAAGUAUCCUACAGCAAAUUUGUAUUUUCAGCCAGUUGUCAUGUGCUAUAGUUCAUUGAGACAAAGUUGCAACAGCCCCGAUGUUUAUAUAAAGAAAAUGGCUGAUAAGAUGCUACCAAAGUUUGAGAAGUAUUGGUCGGAGUUUAGUUUGAUUUUGACUAUAGCUGUGGUCUUUGAUCCACGCUAUAAGUUUCAGUUUGUGGAGUUCUUUUAUAAGAAGUUGUAUGGCCCUAACUCUCGUCAGUGUCUACUAGUAAGAGAGAAGUUAUUUGCUCUAUUUGAAGAAUAUUGUAAGAGCAACAAUGAUAGUUUUGGUCUUGCUAAAAGUGGGGAGCUGACAUCAAAUGAUCCAAGCUGUGGAUUCACAAAUGAAGAAUCUAAAGCGGUGGUUGAGGUAAAUUACUAAAUUAAUUGUAUUGAUUCUUUAAUCCAUUUAAAUUUAUGCAUAUAACUGCUUUUGGUAUCAUAUCUUGUUGCUGCCCUCUAAACUAAAUCUACUUAGUUAUGUUUUUUGAUGUCAUAUCUUGGAAAAUGUUAAAGUAUGCAUAUAAGAUGUUUUUUGAGUUGUGACCAUUGCAUUUAAUUACAGGAAUUUAGUGCCUUGGAUGAGUUUGGAUUAAGUGAACAAAAGUCGCAAUUGGAGUUGUAUAUGCAAGAAGCAAGGUUGGAUGCCAAAUCCAAUCUUGAUGUUCUUGGCUUUUGGAAAGGGAAUCAAUAUAAGUAUCCACAAGUAGCUCACAUGGCUCGUGAUAUUUUGAGCAUUCCCAUAACUACGGUUGCUUCAGAAGCUGUUUUUAGUGUUGGUGGAAGAGUACUUGAUCAAUACCGUAGCUCACUUAAAGCAAGCACAGUGGAAGCAAUUAUUUGCACUAGAGAUUGGUUGUUUGGAGAAAAAGGUAUGAGUUUUUGUGUUAUUAAUGUUAACAUUUUAUAUUAUUGGUAUAUAUUUAAUAUUAAUUCAUAUUUUUUCGUUCAAAGCCUUCAAAAGCGAAAUACCAACAUCUGAGUUAGCCGAAGACUUUCUACAUGGCGAUGAUGAACCUCAAACCGAAUCUUCUUCGGUCUCCACUAUUGCUGUUGCAUGAAGGCUUUGACUUAGUCUAGUUAUGUUUUGAUUUGUUAAGCUCACUUGGAUUAUGUUGUAGUUAUGAGAGGGAUUGACGACUCUUGGUUGACUUGAUGCAUUGUUAUUUUCAUUUGAGCUUAUUAUAUUUUGUUAAGCUUAUUGGUUAAAUGUUUUAUAUUGAUUGUAUUUUUAGUUUGGCAUAUGUUGAAUUGUUGAUUUAUUAUGUUGAUUGUUGAGCAUAUGUGAUGAAUUUUGUAUUUUUUUUAAUAUUAUUAUUCAUGUGAAUGAAUCAAAUCAAAUUCGUGUUGUUAUUAGGUCGUAAUCAGAUCGUGCU
rnacentral:lncRNA from 1 species